rnacentral:misc_RNA from 1 species
AAGUCGUAACAAGGUUUCCGUAGGUGAACCUGCGGAAGGAUCAUUAAAAAUUUAUAUUCCGGGAAUUCGUUUCGUUUUCCCGGAUUAUUUGUAUUCAAAUCCCACUCUUUAAAAAUAUAUUAAUUAUAUAAAACAAAAAUAAAAAAGAAAACUUUCAACAACGGAUCUCUUGGCUCUC